rnacentral:tRNA from 1 species
CCUAAUUUAAUGGUAGAAUCUCGUACUGUUAAUACGAUGGCAUGGGUUCGAUUCCCAGACCCUGAA